rnacentral:rRNA from 1 species
UGCAAGUCGAGCGCAGGAAUAAACAGAACCCUUCGGGGUGAUGUUUAUGGAAUGAGCGGCGGACGGGUGAGUAACACGUGGGCAACCUGCCUGUAAGAUCGGGAUAACUCGCGGAAACGUGAGCUAAUACCGGAUAACACUUUUCAUCUCAUGGUGAGAAGAUAAAAGACGGUUUCGGCUGUCACUUACAGAUGGGCCCGCGGCGCAUUAGCUAGUUGGUGAGGUAACGGCUCACCAAGGCGACGAUGCGUAGCCGACCUGAGAGGGUGAUCGGCCACACUGGGACUGAGACACGGCCCAGACUCCUACGGGAGGCAGCAGUAGGGAAUCUUCCGCAAUGGACGAAAGUCUGACGGAGCAACGCCGCGUGAGUGAUGAAGGUUUUCGGAUCGUAAAACUCUGUUGUUAGGGAAGAACAAGUUGGGUAGUAACUGACCCAACCUUGACGGUACCUAACCAGAAAGCCACGGCUAACUACGUGCCAGCAGCCGCGGUAAUACGUAGGUGGCAAGCGUUGUCCGGAAUUAUUGGGCGUAAAGCGCUCGCAGGCGGUCUUUUAAGUCUGAUGUGAAAGCCCACGGCUUAACCGUGGAGGGUCAUUGGAAACUGGAGGACUUGAGUACAGAAGAGGAGAGUGGAAUUCCACGUGUAGCGGUGAAAUGCGUAGAGAUGUGGAGGAACACCAGUGGCGAAGGCGACUCUCUGGUCUGUAACUGACGCUGAGGAGCGAAAGCGUGGGUAGCGAACAGGAUUAGAUACCCUGGUAGUCCACGCCGUAAACGAUGAGUGCUAGGUGUUAGGGGGUUUCCGCCCCUUAGUGCUGAAGUUAACGCAUUAAGCACUCCGCCUGGGGAGUACGGCCGCAAGGCUGAAACUCAAAAGAAUUGACGGGGGCCCGCACAAGCGGUGGAGCAUGUGGUUUAAUUCGAAGCAACGCGAAGAACCUUACCAGGUCUUGACAUCCUCUGAUACCUCUAG